GUGCGCGCGUGCGGUUUGGUGGGAUUAUGAUUAAAACAAAGCAAAACUGAACCAAAAGAAGAAAUAUAGGAUUUAAGAGUUAAUAGUAACAACAACAAAGUUAUAUUCUAGGACUUUUUUCUAUGAAUACAUUUUUAAAUGUAAACUAUUUUGAUAUGUUAUUGAUAAGUAUAUUUAUUUAUUGAUCAGGAAACCAUUUCAGUAUUCACUGAGCUUUCUGACAGCAGGGACCUUUGAUUUUACAGAGGUCAGAGAUGCUGAAAGAGCAACUCCAGUAAAAGAGGAGCGUAGAGAGCAGGUGUUGGUUCCCAUUUCAAAUCUUGAACCUAAAUAACAGGGGUUUGAAAAUGAUGCUACUCUUGUUCUUACUCUCCAAUUUAGAGGUGAUGAAAUCCCCCGGCCUGUGGAUUAUUUGACCAAGAUGCCACCUGACCUUACAUCCUCUGGCAGAUCCUGAUGGGAGUCGUUAUAAAGAGGACAAUAUGGCUUUAUGGUGACUUUCACUGACAUGCAAGGUUUUCAGAGACGUUUUCAGCAAGCCCAAGUUCAGAGAAAAGGUCCCCUUUGUAUGUCCAAACAGUGUUGUGAACUGGAGUGCAUUUUCCAGACAAUAUGGGCAAGAGCUCCGGGUGCCCUACUCGUUGACUUUGAAAUAUACAAGGACUGCCCACCUGGAUAUGUAGGUGAUGGCAGAAGGGGAGUCCUGAAUGGGUUUUAUUAAGACAAGGAGGUUCAGGGUUAUUGCUCAUUUGAUUGUUUUUUCAAUGAUGGAGGGGAACUUCAGGCUGUGUAGAUUGUGUGUGUACGGUUAAUGUACGUGAUUAUCUGUAUGUGUGUAUUAUGUCUUUUAAACAAUUAUUUUUGUUUUGAAAUAAAAGUUAUCACUGGUAUGGGUUUGGUGUUUUUGAGUGGCAUGCAUACUAUGGGAUACAGAGAUUGACAAUGUACUGUAUGUAGUUUAACUUCAUACUACUUUAUAGGCAUAAAUGUUUAGUAAUAGCCUAUAUUAAGCACAAAAAUAAACAAGAACUAUUAGAGGAGUGAUUAAAAUACGAAAUAUAUAAGGU